CACGUAGGGUGCGAGCGUUAAUCGGAAUUACUGGGCGUAAAGCGUGCGCAGGCGGUGAUGUAAGACCGAUGUGAAAUCCCCGGGCUUAACCUGGGAACUGCAUUGGUGACUGCAUCGCUCGAGUAUGGCAGAGGGGGGUAGAAUUCCACGUGUAGCAGUGAAAUGCGUAGAGAUGCGGAGGAACACCGAUGGCGAAGGCAACCCCCCUGGGCCAACACUGACGCUCAGGCACGAAAGCGUGGGGAGCAAACAGG
rnacentral:rRNA from 1 species